GGGGAUGUGGCUCAGAGGUAAAGUGCUCGCCUAGCAUGCGAGAGGCCCUGGGUUCGAUCUCAGCACCA
rnacentral:tRNA from 1 species